AGGUAUUGCCUUAGUAGCGGCGAGUGAAGCGGCAAAAGCUCAAAUUUGAAAUCUGGCACCUUCGGUGUCCGAGUUGUAAUUUGAAGAUUGUAACCUUGGGGUUGGCUCUUGUCUAUGUUUCUUGGAACAGGACGUCACAGAGGGUGAGAAUCCCGUGCGAUGAGAUGCCCAAUCCUAUGUAAGGUGCUUUCGAAGAGUCGAGUUGUUUGGGAAUGCAGCUCUAAGUGGGUGGUAAAUUCCAUCUAAAGCUAAAUAUUGGCGAGAGACCGAUAGCGAACAAGUACAGUGAUGGAAAGAUGAAAAGAACUUUGAAAAGAGAGUGAAAAAGUACGUGAAAUUGUUGAAAGGGAAGGGUUUGAGAUCAGACUCGAUAUUUUGUGAGCCUUGCCUUCGUGGCGGGGUGACCCGCAGCUUAUCGGGCCAGCAUCGGUUUGGGCGGUAGGAUAAUGGCGUAGGAAUGUGACUUUGCUUCGGUGAAGUGUUAUAGCCUGCGUUGAUGCUGCCUGCCUAGACCGAGGACUGCGAUUUUAUCAAGGAUGCUGACAUCAUUGAUCCCUUG
rnacentral:rRNA from 1 species